ACGACCGUAGCUCAGUUGGUUAGAGCACUACCUUGACAUGGUAGGGGUCGGUGGUUCGAAUCCACUCGGUUGUACCA
rnacentral:tRNA from 3 species